UACGGAGGGUGCAAGCGUUAUCCGGAUUUACUGGGUUUAAAGGGUGCGCAGGCGGAUAUGUAAGUCAGUGGUGAAAUCUUUAGGCUUAACCUGAAAAUUGCCGUUGAUACUAUAUAUCUUGAAUGCUGUGGAGGUAAGCAGAAUAUGUCAUGUAGCGGUGAAAUGCUUAGAUAUGACAUAGAACACCUAUUGCGAAGGCAGCUUACUACGCAGAUAUUGACACUGAGGCACGAAAGCGUGGGGAUCAAACAGG
rnacentral:rRNA from 1 species